AACCUGGUUGGGUGGUCUGCCUUCACGGUACGUACUGCUUGGCCGGGUUCUACCUCUUGGUGAGCCGGCAUGCCCUUCACUGGGUGUGUCGGGGAACCAGGACUUUUACCUUGAGAAAAUUAGAGUGUUUAAAGCAGGCUCACGCUUGAAUACAUUAGCAUGGAAUAACGAAAUAGGACG
rnacentral:rRNA from 1 species